UACGUAGGGUGCGAGCGUUAAUCGGAAUUACUGGGCGUAAAGCGUGCGCAGGCGGUUUUGUAAGCCGGAUGUGAAAUCCCCGGGCUUAACCUGGGAAUGGCAUUCGGGACUGCAAGGCUGGAGUGCGGCAGAGGAGACUGGAAUUCCUGGUGUAGCAGUGAAAUGCGUAGAUAUCAGGAGGAACACCGAUGGCGAAGGCAGCCCCCUGGGAUAACACUGACGCUCAUGCACGAAAGCGUGGGGAGCAAACAGG
rnacentral:rRNA from 1 species